rnacentral:rRNA from 1 species
UACAGAGGCCUCGAGCGUUAAUCGGAGUCACUGGGCUUAAAGGGUGCGUAGGCGGCUUCUUAAGUCAGGGGUGAAAUCCUGGAGCUCAACUCCAGAACUGCCUUUGAUACUGAGGAGCUUGAGUCCGGGAGAGGUGAGUGGAACUGCGAGUGUAGAGGUGAAAUUCGUAGAUAUUCGCAAGAACACCAGUGGCGAAGGCGGCUCACUGGCCCGGUACUGACGCUGAGGUGCGAAAGCGUGGGGAGCAACAGGG